AACGAUGCAUAGCCGACCUGAGAGGGUGAUCGGCCACAUUGGGACUGAGACACGGCCCAAACUCCUACGGGAGGCAGCAGUAGGGAAUCUUCCACAAUGGACGAAAGUCUGAUGGAGCAACGCCGCGUGAGUGAUGAAGGUUUUCGGAUCGUAAAACUCUGUUGUAAGGGAAGAACAAGUACGUUAGGAAAUGAACGUACCUUGACGGUACCUUAUUAGAAAGCCACGGCUAACUACGUGCCAGCAGCCGCGGUAAUACGUAGGUGGCAAGCGUUGUCCGGAUUAUAUUGGGCGUAAAGCGCGCGCAGGUGGUUUCUUAAGUCUGAUGUGAAAGCCCACGGCUCAACCGUGGAGGGUCAUUGGAAACUGGGGAACUUGAGUGCAGAAGAGGAUAGUGGAAUUCCAAGUGUAGCGGUGAAAUGCGUAGAGAUUUGGAGGAACACCAGUGGCGAAGGCGACUGUCUGGUCUGUAACUGACACUGAGGCGCGAAAGCGUGGGGAGCAAACAGGAUUAGAUACCCUGGUAGUCCACGCCGUAAACGAUGAGUGCUAAGUGUUAGGGGGUUUCCGCCCCUUAGUGCUGCAGCUAACGCAUUAAGCACUCCGCCUGGGGAGUACGACCGCAAGGUUGAAACUCAAAGGAAUUGACGGGGGCCCGCACAAGCGGUGGAGCAUGUGGUUUAAUUCGAAGCAACGCGAAGAACCUUACCAGGUCUUGACAUCCCAGUGACCGCUCUAGAGAUAGAGUUUUCCCUUCGGGGACAUUGGUGACAGGUGGUGCAUGGUUGUCGUCAGCUCGUGUCGUGAGAUGUUGGGUUAAGUCCCGCAACGAGCGCAACCCUUAAUCUUAGUUGCCAUCAUUUAGUUGGGCACUCUAAGGUGACUGCCGGUGACAAACCGGAGGAAGGUGGGGAUGACGUCAAAUCAUCAUGCCCCUUAUGACCUGGGCUACACACGUGCUACAAUGGACGGUACAAAGAGUCGCUAACUCGCGAGAGUACGCUAAUCUCAUAAAACCGUUCUCAGUUCGGAUUGUAGGCUGCAACUCGCCUACAUGAA
rnacentral:rRNA from 1 species